AUGAGAAAAGGAAGUGAAAAAAACUUAAGAGAUGAACUGGUAAACUCAGAGAAAGGUUCAAUUGACAUUUUAUUUGUUGUAGCAUUCACUGUAGCAUCAGCUGAACGCAGUUUCUCCAAGUUGAAUUUAUUGAGAAACUAUUUGAGAUUAUCAAUGUCACAGGAAAGAUUGAAUGGUCUUGCUACUUUAUGCAUUGAGAAAGCAAAGUUGGAUGAAAUAAAUAUUGAUGUACAUAUCCGAUCAUCAUAUUCAGGAAGCCUUGGAGACGUUUUCUUCAGGUGA
rnacentral:rRNA from 1 species